rnacentral:lncRNA from 1 species
UUUUUUAAUAAAUCCAAGACACCUACCCAAAGAAAUCCCUUCUGCGGGACCCAUCAAUAGCAUUUUGAAUUAUAACAAAGUUACUUUAUUUAUGCUAUAUGAUAAGUUCGCCAGCUUAUACCUUGACAACACCGCCUCUAUUAUAGGUUUCCCUUCGCUCAAGACGCGAUGCUCAAGAGCCUCCAAAACUCAAGCUGAAACGUCAUAUGGGGAAAGAGUGGACAGCUGAGUGGGGAGAAAAAGGCUGAAAUUGAAGAAUUGCUCUGUUUCUUCAUCCUCUGUUUCAAAUUUCUUUACUGUUUCUAAUAUCUGAAGACCCCCAAUUUUUCCUACUUUCUAAUUUGAAUUAUACCUUGAAAACAUUUAGCGUUUCUUUAUUGUCUUUGAAUGAUCUUGAUCAAUAAAGCAGUGUUUUCAUUGUGCGAUGGGAAAUUUUUUUUAUCUAAUCUUGAUUUUCACUUGAAUGAAGUUUUCUUUCAUUUUUCAAUGAAAAUGGGUGAAAAUUUUCCCUUAACAAUGAGAGUCCCCCCAUUUCUCUCUCACUCAAAUAAAUGGGGGCUUUUUUUGUGUUUCUUGAUUUUCUUUUUAGCAUUUCUUUGUUGCAUUUGAAUGAUCUUGAUCAGUAAACCGGUAUUUUCGUUGUGCGAUCGCGGAAUUCUUUUUAAUUUUGAUUUUCACUUGAAUGAAAGUUUCUUUCAUUUUUCAACGAAAGAUUAGUGAAAUCUUCAUUCAAUGAGANNNNN